CCCUGCGCAUCCCCACAGAAAAUGAGCUGACCAGUGUGAUCGUGGUCCAUAGAGGUAACCUUAGCAUCAAAUACUGAUUUAUGAAUAAUCCUGCCAGUGCUGAAAUUGAAUACAGUGAUUUCUUUGUUUUCAUUGCCAGCUGAAAGGAAGUUAUUAUUUACAGGAUGAAAACGAAUACAUAAUUGUGAAGAGACUCCAUAUAUUACUCGAAUGCAAAGGCCUUGUGACAACUCCCACACUCUAACAGUUUUAUCCAUGGAUGAGGAUGCAAUGUACUGAUUGUUGGAUGAGAAGUCAAAAUCUGUGACAUCUCUUGAAUGUCCCUUUAAUUGUUUGAGGAC
rnacentral:misc_RNA from 1 species